GGGAUCCAUUUCCCCGCCCUUGAACCCCAGACCUGCAACAGUCAGUACGAUGCAGCGGCAGCGACACCUCAAGGACUCUGAGCCAAGACCCCAUGAGGUUUCACAGGCUUCUGCUGUCUCUUUUGGAAUCCUGCGGCCACCAUGUGAACAAGCCUGUGCCGACCUGGUUCUGACCCAGCAGGCCUGAGGCAGGGACCGAGAUUUGCACCCCAGCAAGCUCCCGAGUGAUGACAGUGUGGGCUGUGGACCCCCUUUCAGCCACACCUACUAACAGAAAUGGUGAUUUUCCACUUCUCGGCACUUGGAGUGGACACAGGACACCUGCUGGAAAGUUAGUGACUGUUUUUGCUGCAAAGGCAGGAGAUGGAGCAGGACCAGUGUGGGAACGGCAAUCGUAACAGCGGCGCCUAACCAGCGAUGACGGAGUCCUGCUCUACGCUGGUCACACACAUCAUCUUUCAUUCUUACGAUACCCCUGGAGGCAAAGCUGGGGCAUGGAGUCUCCCAGAAGUUGGUUUAAAUCUUCUUUCCACCACAAAGUGAGCUGUGUGGCCUUCAGCGGGCUGCAGUCCCCGGUGUGGUGUCCUCAGAUGAAGCAUGGUGGCAACCAGGACCCCACUGCCAACCUCUCAGAAGGAAGGAAGUGGAUGAAGUUCCCACAGAAAACCCGUCAAUGCCAUCACCUUGCCCUUGCCCUCCACUCUUUACCUGCCCUCAGGGCAUGCUUGAUCCUUCCCUUCAGUGUGUCUGAGUUCUACUAUAUCCUGGGGAGAAAGCUAAGUUCUUAGCCAUGACAUUGGCCUUUUUUUCUUUUUUGUAAAAACCAAAAAUCGAAACAGUGAGAAAUGUUCCCUUCUUGCCUCCCUGCACUGCCUCCUCUUUCUCUCCCUUAAUUUCUUAGGAAUGAAAU